UAUCCUACGGGGGGCAGCAGUGGGGAAUAUUGCGCAAUGGGCGAAAGCCUGACGCAGCGACGCCGCGUGGGUGAAGGAGUAUUUCGGUAUGUAAAGCCCUAUCGGCAGGGAAGAAGCAAGACGGUACCUGACUAAGAAGCCCCGGCUAACUACGUGCCAGCAGCCGCGGUAAUACGUAGGGGGCAAGCGUUAUCCGGAUUCACUGGGUGUAAAGGGAGCGUAGACGGCCAUGCAAGCCUGGAGUGAAAGCCCGGGGCCCAACCCCGGGACUGCUCUGGGAACUGUGCGGCUGGAGUGCGGGAGGG
rnacentral:rRNA from 1 species